rnacentral:rRNA from 1 species
CUACCGGGGUAUCUAAUCCUGUUUGCUACCCACGCUUUCGCACCUCAGUGUCAGUAUGAUGCCAGGGAGCUGCCUUCGCCAUCGGUAUUCCUCCAGAUCUCUACGCAUUUCACCGCUACACCUGGAAUUCUACUCCCCUCUCACCUACUCUAGUCACCCAGUAUCAGAUGCAGUUCCCAGGUUAAGCCCGGGGCUUUCACAUCUGACUUAAGUAACCACCUACGCGCGCUUUACGCCCAGUAAUUCCGAUUAACGCUUGCACCCUCUGUAUUACCGCGGCUGCUGGCAC